GAUGAACGCUGGCGGCGUGCCUAAUACAUGCAAGUCGAGCGAACAGACGAGGAGCUUGCUCCACUGACGGUAGCGGCGGAAGUGUGAGUAACACGUGGAUAACCUACCUAUAGAACUGGGAGAACUUCGUGAAACCGGAGCUCAUACCGGAUAAUAUAUUGAACCGCAUGGUGCAAUAGUGAAAUACGGCUUUGCUGUCUCUUAUAGAUGAAUCCGCGCCGCAUUAGCUAUUUGGUAAGGUAACGGCUUACCAAGGCAACGAUGCGUAGCCGACCUGAGAGGGUGAUCGGCCACACUGGAACUGAGACACGGUCCAGACUCCUACGGGAGGCAGCAGUAGGGAAUCUUCCGCAAUGGGCGCAAGCCUGACGGAGCAACGCCGCGUGAGUGAUGAAGGUCUUCGGAUCGUAAACCUCUGUUAUUAGGGAAGAACAAAUGUGUAAGUAACUAUGCACGUCUUGACGGUACCUAAUCAGAAAGCCACGGCUAACUACGUG
rnacentral:rRNA from 1 species